rnacentral:lncRNA from 1 species
UACCCAUACAACACUGCUUUCCUUAGAGCCACAGCUACUGCUGAGAACUCAAAAACUUCUUCCUUUCCGGUGAACACGUCUAGACUUGGGCUGGGGAUGGGAUGAAGAUCUCUAACACCUUCCUGGAAAUCAAGAAGUGCAAAUAGGCCACAGGAUUCUGCUGCAAAUUCUAACAGGAGGAGGCAAUGGCAGCCCUUACUAAAACCGCAGAACUACAGGAAGAGGAUCCCUGAGUGGGAUUCCUGUGUGAAAGGCAUUUUCACCUUUUUGUGUAUCUUCAGAAUCUUAACUUUCAUGAGAGAAGAAUAGAAAUGCAACAAUGGAACAAUCCACUGUAUACACGUAGCUGACAAUUUAAUAAACUUGAAGGAAAUGCUA